UACGUAGGGUGCGAGCGUUGUCCGGAUUUAUUGGGCGUAAAGAGCUCGUAGGCGGUUUGUUGCGUCGGCCGUGAAAUCUCCACGCUUAACGUGGAGCGUGCGGUCGAUACGGGCAGACUUGAGUUCGGUAGGGGAGACCGGAAUUCCUGGUGUAGCGGUGAAAUGCGCAGAUAUCAGGAGGAACACCGGUGGCGAAGGCGGGUCUCUGGGCCGAUACUGACGCUGAGGAGCGAAAGCGUGGGGAGCGAACAGG
rnacentral:rRNA from 1 species